rnacentral:rRNA from 1 species
GCGGAGGAAAAGAAACUAACAAGGAUUCCCUCAGUAACGGCGAGUGAACAGGGAACAAGCUCAAAGUUGGAAUCUAUCUGGCUUAGCCAGAUCGAAUUGUAAACUUUAGAGUCGUUGUCCAGACCAGCCGAGUAAAUAAGUUCCUUGGAAUAGGACAUCAUGGAGGGUGAGAAUCCCGUCUUUGGCUUGAGCAUUGGUCUUUUGUGAUGCGACUUCAACGAGUCAGGUUGUUUGGGAAUGCAGCCUUAAUUGGGUGGUAAAUCUCACCUAAAGCUAAAUAUUGGCGAGAGACCGAUAGCGAACAAGUACCGUGAGGGAAAGAUGAAAAGAACUUUGAAAAGAGAGUUAAACAGUAUGUGAAAUUGCUAAAAGGGAACCGUUUGAAGUCAGUCUGGCUGGUCUGCAAUCAGCUUCAACUUUGGUUGGAGUGCACUUGUAGGCCAUUUUGCCUGCCAACAACAGUUUGUUCUGCAGCAAAAAGGUGUUGAGAAUGUAGCUUUCUCUUUGGAGAAAGUGUUAUAGCUCUUCGCGAAAUACUGUGGUUCAGACUGAGGCUUGCAGUGAAUGCUAUUUUGGCUUUGGGGAUGGAUUGCUCAGUGCUUUGCUUGGUUAGUUUUCGGCCGUCAAACGUCGUGCUGGCUAAAUAAAGUCUGACUCGGUUCAUUCACUUUUAAUUCACUUUGGUUGUUGGCUUAAUGACUUUAAACGAC